rnacentral:misc_RNA from 1 species
GGAUCAUGCGAUCUUAAUUAAAUUCAUAACUUAUAGUAGUCAAAAUCAAGAAUUUGAACUUGAGAAUUAGUAAACUCUAAAAUGAAAAGGUGAAUACUUCAACUAAUACCAAAUAGUUAGUUUUCCAAUUUGAAGAGAUGUCGGUUUAGAAAGAUAAAUAGAGCUAACACUUGCUAUAAGCGCUUCUUACUAUAGGCGUUGAAGUCAG